CAAUAGCGUAUAUUAAAGUUGUUGCAGUUAAAAAGCUCGUAGUUGGACCUUGGACCUGGACAGGCGGUCCGCCUCACGGCGAGUACUGUCUUGCUGGGUCUUUCCUCUUGGUGAUCUGUUGUUUCGGCAGCAGGGAACCAGGACCUUUACUUUGAAAAAAUUAGAGUGUUCAAAGCAGGCUCGACGCCGGAAUAUAUUAGCAUGGAAUAAUAAAAUAGGACGUGCGGUUCUAUUUUGUUGGUUUUGGAAUCGCCGUAAUGAUUAAUAGGGACAGUCGGGGGCAUUAGUACUCACAUGCUAGAGGUGAAAUUCUUGGAUUUUGUGAAGACUAACUUCUGCGAAAGCAUUUGCCAAGGACGUUUUCAUUAA
rnacentral:rRNA from 1 species